GACGAACGCUGGCGGCGUGGAUUAGGCAUGCAAGUCGAACGGUAUCAUCCUUUCGGGGGUGAGAGAGUGGCGAACUGGUGAGUAACACGUAGGUUAUCUACCCUCAAGACGGGGACAACCCAGGGAAACUUGGGCUAAUACCGGAUGUGAGCAACUUUUAGUUGUUUGAAAGGUGGCGUAAGCUGUCGCUUGGGGAUGAGCCUGCGUCCUAUUAGUUAGUUGGUGAGGUAACGGCUCACCUAGGCAAUGAUAGGUAGGCGGCCUUAACGGGUGGUCGCCCACACUGGGAUUGAGAUACGGCCCAGACUCCUACGGGAGGCAGCAGUCGAGAAUAGUCUACAAUGGUCGGAAGACUGAUAGUGCGACGCCGCGUGAACGAUGAAUCCCUUCGGGGUGUAAAGUUCUUUUAUAUGUGAGCAGUGCUUCUUAUAUUAACAGUAUGGGGAGAGAGAUAUUAGCAUAUGAAUAAGCAACGGCUAACUCCGUGCCAGCAACCGCGGUAAAACGU
rnacentral:rRNA from 1 species